rnacentral:rRNA from 1 species
CACGUAGGCGGAUGUGUCAGUCAGGGGUGAAAUCCCGGAGCUCAACUUCGGAACUGCCCUUGAUACAGCACAUCUGGAGUCCGGAAGAGGUGGGUGGAAUUCCUAGUGUAGAGGUGAAAUUCGUAGAUAUUAGGAAGAACACCGGUGGCGAAGGCGGCCCACUGGUCCGGUACUGACGCUGAGGUGCGAAAGCGUGGGGAGCAAACA